GGGUAGCGCACUGUAGCACUACACUGGGCGACCACCGGCAAACUGGGUGCCUAACACCUACGCCAUCUACCCACUACAGGGGAAUAGCCCAGGGAAACUUGGAUUAAUACCCCAUAUUAUAUAGAGGUGGCAUCACUUUUAUAUCAAAGCUUCCGCGGUAGUGGAUGAGCGUGCGGUUGAUUAGAUAGUUGGCGGGGUAACGGCCCACCAAGUCUACCAUCAAUAGCUGAUGUGAGAGCAUGAUCAGCCACCCGGGCACUGAGACACGGGCCCGACUCCUACGGGAGGCAGCAGUAAGGAAUAUUGGGCAAUGGACGCAAGUCUGACCCAGCCAUGCCGCGUGAAGGAUGAAGGUCCUCUGGAUUGUAAACUUCUUUUAUCUGGGGCGAAAACAACUCUUUCUAGGGUUCUUGACAGUACCAGAGGAAUAAGCACCGGCUAACUCCGUGCCAGCAGCCGCGGUAAUACGGAGGGUGCAAGCGUUAUCCGGAUUCACUGGGUUUAAAGGGUGCGUAGGCGGGUUAGUAAGUCAGUGGUGAAAUCCCCGAGCUUAACUUGGGAACUGCCGUUGAUACUAUUAGUCUUGAAUAUCGUGGAGGUAAGCGGAAUAUGUCAUGUAGCGGUGAAAUGCUUAGAUAUGACAUAGAACACCAAUUGCGAAGGCAGCUUGCUACACGAUUAUUGACGCUGAGGCACGAAAGCGUGGGGAUCAAACAGGAUUAGAUACCCUGGUAGUCCACGCCCUAAACGAUGAUUACUCGACAUCAGCGAUACACUGUUGGUGUCUAAGCUAAAGCAUUAAGUAAUCCACCUGGGAAGUA
rnacentral:rRNA from 1 species